GUAGGUUUCCAAUAACUCGGGGUUUUCGGGUUUCUCGCUUGUAUACUGUAAUGAGUAAUGGAUAUUAUGUUAUAUCCACUACUCAUUACAGUAGUAUAUACUGUAACAAGUAAUUUCCUUGUAAUGUUCCCUAAGGCACUUUAACAUAGUGCUGUUUGAAACAGCACUAUAUAAAAGCACACUAGGGAGCCUUUAGUGUACACCAGCAGAGUCUACAUGGACCAAUUAAUGUACAACAUGCUAAUGUGCUUUAGGAAUUACACUCAUGUAGUACACAUUACUGCUCUGUUGGGACAGGCCCUUAGAGGCAAAUAACCAUUUACAGUGUUUAUCCAGUGUUUACUGGCUAAAAACACCUAUUUCAUUUUUUUAAUGGAAGGAGGUGGUCUUUAUUGGUUAAAACCUAAAACCAGAGGUCCUACAUACAUUUUAUCCCAAUUCAAGAAAGCAGUUAAGCAUGUGCUUAAGGACCAGAUUUUUAAAGGCAUUUAAGUGUUGCUGCACUCAGUGUUGCAAUACCUAAAGGGUUUAGCAGUUUAAGUCUCGUUUUCAAAAGGGAUUUAGACACUUAGGUUCUAAGUAUCUAAAUUAAUUUUCAAAAUGAGACUUAGACUUUGCAAAGUUGAGUGCAGCAACCGCCUCAAUACCUUUAAAAAUCUAGGCCUAAGCACUUUCCUGAAUCGGAAUCAUAUAAAGAAGCUUGGCAGCUAAAUUACUGUUUUUAUGUACAUCCAUAUAAAUCUAGCUAAAUUCUUGAGUCAACACCUCAUAUAAAUGCACAGACAAAAAAAAUGCAAAGCAUAAUGAAGUUUCUUUCCAUUUAUUUAUGAUCUCGAUCAGGAUUAAGUAUCUCUUGUGCCUCCAAGACUGAAUUCCAGCUGUCUCCAAAUGCAAAGCGCACUGCUCCAGCAGUUCACUUUUUGCAAAGCAAGCCAGCGUUUCCAGGUAUGAAAAAAUAAUUUACGGUCAAACAGGCAUCAUUAUGGAAAAGUCCAUAAUCUACUGCAAUACUAGAUGGUUUAAAUCUUGGUGUUGUGGGAGCUGAAUGAGGAUACCUGCAACCCAUUCAAAUGGGAGUUGGGGAACCAGGCUACUCCUCACUUUGGCAGGCAGCAGCUAUUCAUGGCCAUUCCUGGUGCAGAUUAGAAGCCACUGAAGUCAAUGAGAGCCCUGCAUCAAGUGAAGGUAGAAUUUGGCAGGAGGUGAUCAAAAUUACAAAAAAGAUUCAAGAAGUGAUUGCAGGAUAGGAAGCAUAAAUGGAGUCACAUACUGAAUAGUUACUAGUUUCAGUACAAAAGGCUACAAAGCAGUAGGAAAUAGGAAAUUUCCAAAAGAAAUUCUCACAACAGCAGGAGGAGGGAGGAAAACAGGAGCUGCAGAGAGACGUUUUUCCAGAAGCAGUCACCAGACCAGAGACUGUGUGCUGAGGUCUAAGAAAAGCAAAGAGGAAUUUAGUAUUAUGAACUGACAUAGCCUUGGAGAAGUGCAGACAUAAGCUAUUACCUUUUUGUAAUACACAGUGACCCACCGCAGUGCAACAUCCUAAUAGACGUACAGCUUUCACUUAAAAGCAAUGUUUUCACAAGCAAAGGAGCAUUUCCAGGUGCUGUAAACUUGUUCUUAAAAGUACGCUUCUAAGGAUAGCUUAGGAAUGAAUACCAACAAGAAUAGACCAUUCCUAGGACACUGUUAGUGCAGAUAUAAAACAGGGAUGACAAAGUGGAUAAAGCCCUGAGUUGAGAAGCUGAAGUGGGGAAAAAUCUUCAGAGAUCUGGAAAACACCCAGGUGAAGAUAAAGUGAGGAAUUCCAAACUGCAGAUUAUUACUAGCCGUAUAUAAUAAAGUUAUUGGCACAAGUAGGAAAGUGUUUUACAAAUGCAUACACUAGACUGCAGAGGUAGGAAGCAAGAUUAUGAAAAGGAGUUUAGGCACAAGGAGCUCAGAUAGCACAUACAAUCGGGGAUUUACUAUAAUACUUUUCAAGCUUGGUUCUCCACUGCCUUGCACGAGGCAUGCCAUAACUUACACCUGAGCAAAGUGGACGUAAAACACUACCAUUAUCAUUUUUUAGUAUAUCCUAUUUACUUUGCAUAGAUGCAGGCAACAACACAAGGCAUAAAGCACUCAAUUCAUCAACUUGAGGGAGAACUCUGCUGAAAACGUUAAAAUUCUCUUUGAUGGCUGACGUUCUGCUAACUGUCCUAAAGUGCCUGAAAAUUUAGAAAACAAGACCCAGAUUAGCGAGGCGUUUUACUUUAAGUAUGUAAAUAGUCACACUGAAGUCAAACUGCAGAACCAAGUCCUGUAAAAUAAAUAUGCAAGAGGCUUCAGGGGUUCAGGCUUUAGUGAGGUUUGGGGAGCUUAAGUGGUUCUCAAAUGGCCCAAGACUCAUUAUUUCCUAAUUUUAUAACUAUCCAUUGCAAAAUAAAACAAAAAUUUUCUUUUCUACUUGUACCUC